CCUACGGGAGGCAGCAGUAGGGAAUAUUGCACAAUGGGGGGAACCCUGAAGCAGCAACGCCGCGUGGGUGAUGGAGGAUUUCGGAUUGUAAAGCCCUAUCGUCAGGGAAGAUAAUGACGGUACCUAACGAAGAAGCACCGGCUAACUCCGUGCCAGCAGCCGCGGUAAUACGUAGGGGGCAAGCGUUACUCGGAUUCACUGGGUGUAAAGAGCGCGUAGGCGGGAGUGCAAGUCAGGAGUGAAAGCCCGGGGCUUAACCCUAGGACUGCUUUGGAAACUGUUAUGCUGGAGUGUGGGAGGGGUAGGUGGAAUUCCUGGUGUAGCGGUGAAAUGCGUAGAGAUCAGGAGGAAUAC
rnacentral:rRNA from 1 species